rnacentral:rRNA from 1 species
UCUUGGUCAUUUUAGAGGAAGUAAAAGUCGUAACAAGGUUUCCGUAGGUGAACCUGCGGAAGGAUCAUUAACGAGUAACUGAACGGGUUGUAGCUGGCCUCUCGGGGCAUGUGCACACCUGGCUCAUCCACUCUUCAACCUCUGUGCACUUGUUGUAGGUCGGCAGAAGGGCGAGCCUUAAAACAGCUCGCUUGGAAGCCUUCCUAUGUUUUACCACAAACGCUUCAGUUUAAGAAUGUAACCUGCGUAUAACGCAACUAUAUACAACUUUCAGCAACGGAUCUCUUGGCUCUCGCAUCGAUGAAGAACGCAGCGAAAUGCGAUAAGUAAUGUGAAUUGCAGAAUUCAGUGAAUCAUCGAAUCUUUGAACGCACCUUGCGCUCCCUGGUAUUCCGGGGAGCAUGCCUGUUUGAGUGUCAUGGUAUCCUCAUCCUUCAUAACUUUUUGUUAUCGAAGGCAUGGACUUGGAGGUCGUGCUGGUUCCUCGUUGAAUCGGCUCCUCUUAAAUGUAUUAGCGUGAGUGUAACGGAUCGCUUCGGUGUGAUAAUUAUCUGCGCCGUGGUCGUGAAGUAACAUAAGCUUGCGCUUCUAACCGUCCUUAAGCUGGACAACAUAACUUUGACAUCUGACCUCAAAUCAGGUAGGACUACCCGCUGAACUUAAGCAUAUCAAUAAGCGGAGGAAAAGAAACUAACAAGGAUUCCCCUAGUAACUGCGAGUGAACCGGGAAAAGCUCAAAUUUAAAAUCUGGCAGCCUUGGCUGUCCGAGUUGUAAUCUGGAGAAGCGUCUUCCGCGCUGGACCGUGUACAA